rnacentral:lncRNA from 1 species
AGAGCAUUAUAUUGAGUUGGAGUCGCAUUUCUGCAUUUGUUAUUUGUGCCCAAGUGUUAGUCUCACAUGAAUAGUAGUGUAUUGUUUAUUUGUGUUUGGUCCCACAUGUGAGCACAAAUACAUUUGUUUAUUUAUGUUCAUGGAAGGUUGCUAUUCUCAAUGUGGGUAGGGGUGCAUUUGUUUAUUGUGAAGGUUGUUGGUCCCACAUAUGAACUCACCACCAACUCCAACCUUUAUAAGUAGGAAAGAUCAUUAUAUUAGUCCCACUUUGAGUCUCAUUGAGUUAAAGUGCUUUGAAUCACACGGCUCAUUUAAUCCACGGAGAUGCGAGAGAGGGAAUUAGAGGCCAUGUAUCCACUGUUAUUAUGCAUGAACCAUGCAGAUCCAAUUAGAGGGAGGGUGUUGCAUCUAUUGCUUCGUGAGUUGGACAUGUGAGGCAUAUUUUAGUGGGCAGUUUUGAACUCAUGAAAAUCGUGCCCUCCACUUACGAUCUACCUUGGUUGCUGAGAGUUUUGAGAUAAGCCCUUUAAACCGGAAGAGAGUAGUAUUUGUCUACAAACUUGGUCACACUUUAUCAAGUUUGACUUAUGGCAAGAUUUGUAGGCCUUACAAAACUGAAUGGAGGAGUACUUGUUAGGACCCCAGCACAUCCAGCUAUAUCACCACAUUUGUACGCGGUACUUAACAUAUACUUGAGCAAAUAAUGCCUGCUAUAUCACCACUAGCUGCAAUCUACUAUAGCUUCGUCAGUAUUCUUGUAUUUCUGACUUCUUGAAAUGUUAAUAGUACCCAUGGUUUUGUCAGCCAGUGCAUCUGCUGCUGUGCCUGUAUGAUUGCUCCUAUCUUACUUCUUUUAUACAUCUCACUCUUAUCUUGUGAAUUUUCUUAUGCAGAGAUGUUGUUGCUGGUAUUGUGCAUUUGCAUAGUUUAGGAAUCAUACAUCGCGAUUUGAAGCCUCAGAAUGUCUUAAUAAGUAAGGAGGGAUCUCUCAGUGCAAAGCUUUCUGAUAUGGGUAUCAGUAAGCGCUUGCAAGAGGAUAUGUCAUCUCUUAGUCAUCAUGGCACUGGUAAGCAAGAUUGAAGUCGCUUGCUUAUAUGUGAUAUUACAGUAUGUUAUGCCUGGUGUUUAUGGUAGAAACUUUACUUGCAUUUUUUCAAUAAUAGCACUCUUCUUUUUAAAGUAGCUGUUUAAUCCUUGACAGUGUAUUGCAGGAUAUGGAAGCUCCGGUUGGCAAGCACCUGAGCAGCUUCGUCGUGCUAGUCAGACUCGUGCAAUGGAUUUAUUUAGUUUGGGUUGCCUUAUUUUCUAUUGUAUCACUAAAGGCAAGCAUCCGUUUGGUGAGUACUAUGAACGGGACAUAAACAUUAUAAACGGUCACUUUGAUCUCUUCGUGGUGGAUCACAUACCAGAAGCGGUGCAUCUUAUUUCUCUGUUGUUACAACCAAAACCAGAUGAGAGGUAAGAAUUUAGGUCAAUGUACAUUCUUGCUGUGCUGAACACAUAGGUUAUAUAAGGCUUCCUGUUCUUUUUUUUUUUUACUGAAAUUCACUUUUAAAAUGUUAACAGACCCACGGCGAUGUAUGCGAUAAAUCAUCCUCUCUUUUGGAGCCCUGAGUUGCGGCUUUUGUUUCUAAGAGAUACCAGCGAUAGAAUUGAGAAAACCACUGAAACUGACCUCCUUAAUGCUUUGGAAAGCAUAGGACAUCAAGCUUUUGGUGGAAAAUGGCGAGAAAAGUUGGAUGAUGGUCUGGUUGCCGACGUGGGUCGUUAUAGGAAAUAUAAUUUCGAGUCAACUCGUGACCUUCUCAGGUUGAUUAGAAACAAGUCAGGACAUUACAGAGAGCUUCCAACUGAUCUCAAGGUUAGUUAUGCUGCACCUCUUGUCGCAUUUGCUCUUGUUUAUGCUAUAUGUGUAAUUUCUUUCCAUGGUUACUGAGCAAAAUGCUCACCCUGACACAUUUCUCCCCAUUCACUCUCUCUGUUUCUCCUCAUGUCAACCAUGUGAAUGCUCCUGAGCACAACCUUGAUAUGCCUAUGGUGUGUUCUUGUUCUAAAUUUAAUCAUUCAACCAUGAUCUGGCAUGAGUGAAUUCUCCAGGGAAGGUGGAGGAUGCGCUAAAGUUGCUGUCAGUGGUGGCGGUGGAGCGGUGUAGGAUCAAGGAAACCACCUAGAGUGGGUGGAUAGGUAGAUUAUGAUAUGAUUCUGUUAAGCUAAAACAUGUGUUUAGCACAACUAAAGGAAAUAAAUUUUGCAUUUUUAACCCAAAUCAGUUACACCUAUGGGUCUAUACUCUAUAUAGGUGCACUGACAACCUAAUUUGAGUUAAACUGUUUGCGAUCUAUAAUAAGCAAACCGUAAAUGCACACGAGCAAGAGAAGAGAACCCAAAGAUGAACUUGAUACUGUUUUUUGGCUUUGGCGUUCUCCUUAUUUCAUGCUUAGGUAAGCUGAUAAAUGAAUCCCUCCAAACAGGCACACUGAAUCCGCUAGCGGCAGGCGGCAACACAUGUCCACCCUAGACAAGUUACAACCUUCAUACAGUGAUGUGUCUCGUCAUGACCAUCUUGUAUAGAUCACCGAGUGUCAUCCAAUCUGUCUAGCUUCCAAUAGUGACAAGUUGGUGAUACUCGCUUGAAGUUGAUCAUGUGUCAAACUACGUGCUGUCUCUUUCUUUUCCUUAAGACAGUGAACUGCAAACAAAGCUUACCUUAGUUGGUUAGGUUUCUUCUGGUGGAACCAGCCUACCUAGGCCCAAGUCCUAGACUUGGUACGGGUGUUUGCAUAUUUUCCUGGAUCUAUUUCAGGCUUUUCGGCUCUAUCCUUUCAGUGGUAUGAUGUGACCGUUGACUACGAGGUGCAUAUGGUGACUUCGACAAUCUUAAGAUCUGUCGGCUAAGGUCUGUGUGCGUGCGUUCAUAUGGUAGGGUGUGUGUGUGUGUGCGUGUUGUGAGUGUCUGCGUCUGUUCCAAAAAAAUAAAAAUAAUGAACUGGAUAGUAUGAAGGAUGGAGAUGAAUUAAGGGCCCAAGGACGGCGACUGAGUGGCAGAAUAUGCCCACACACAUGCAAAUAGUUAUUACUCUUAUUGAAGAUGAAAUUUAGAACUGGUCGAACAGCCUCAUCCCUCAUGGUAGCAGCUAGUUGCACUGAACAAUACAAUAGUCAAAUAUGAUUUUUAAAGAGUUCUAAAUCUGGCUAACUAACAGUUCAUUGAGGGGCUCAAGAAAUUGAGAUGGCUGCUACAAGCACGUCAAUCUGGGACACCUGAUCUGACCACAAUAUGGAUGCCGGUUAGAUUUUUCUUGGCAGAACAGGCCCACUGGAAAGUUUUGACGAGCAAUCAUUGCCCUCCCAAACCGUGGACCCUUGUCACACCCACUUAAGGCCUCUUUGUUUCGCAGGAUUUGUAAAACGCAGGAAUAGGCAAAAUAUAGGAUUGGAGUGGCAUGACAUCUUCAAUACACAUGAUUAGUAUGGGCAUUUGAAAAGCGUAGGAUUCUUCAUAUGAGGUUGGAGUGGAUGGAAAUGUUCCUAUGUAAACUAGUACUCCCUCCGUCCCAAANNNNNNNUCUUAAGCUUAGUAUAAUUUUGUACUAGCUCUAGUACAAANNNNNNNNNNNNAUUUUGGGACGGAGGGAGUAGUACAAAUGAAUUCCAAGGAAAAAAUCCUAUGGGUUGUGAUCCUACGAAUCAAACAACCUACAUAGGAAAAAAAAUCCUACUGGUUAGAAUCCUUCAAAAUAUCUUUAACAUUCAUACGAAUCAAAGAGGAGAUGGGGGAAUAAUAGUCUUGAACAAGGGCUUCCAAACAAAAAACCUUCCUUCAAGAGCGUAUUUGGUUACUGGUUGCACCACUAUGGGAUCAUGGAGAGCGGUUAUUAUUUGGUUGGUAUGAUGGCGUGCCAGCGUUUCCAUCAAAUGCUGGUCAGUCCAGGCGCAAGGAAUUUUGUUGAACUUCUAAAGGUUGAUAAAUGCCAUACGUGGUGUGCCAUAACUAUGAAGCACUUAGGUUGGCACAACUAUUUCAGUGUUAAUGUACCACAGCACUAACAACACGGGUAGCAACCUGGUUUUCCACCCCACCAAACUCCAAAGACCAGGAAAUUCUGUGAAAUGACCCUAAGCUUUAUUGCCACCUUUGCAUCAGGUAUAGUUGAGAAGAUUUAACUCCCAUCAUUUACAUCUGUUGGUCUUCAAUGUCCUAUAGCAAUCUUCAGGGAUGGCUAAUGCUUGUUAUGGUUCUGCUCCCCUGUGAGCUCAGCUUUGUGUUUCCUCCCCCCUGCAUCUGCAUUCCCAAGAAGCUAAACGUUUUAUCAAUUUUCAG